ACGUAGUUUCCAUUCUGACCAGAAUAGAUGUGCGUCACUAGUGUACGGGAGUUUCGAUGAGUUUCGAAGCGUUAUAGGAAAAAGGCCGCCGUGGCCACUCUCAGGUUCUUCUCUGUCGAUAGUCACCGGUAGAGGUUAGAAGGGUUAAAAUCAUUUUCAAGGAAUGGAUAACCGGGAUAACCUUACUUUUCCCGGUAUAUCGAUUGUAUGUACGAACGCUCGAUAUAUCGAUUGUACGGACGCUCGAUAUAUCGAUGCACGACGCGCGUCUGCGCGGCGGCGGCGGCCAUACUGGCUUUUCACACCGCUCCGCACUGCUCCGCCCGCGCACUGUUCCUCCGCACUCCGCACUCCGCACCAUUCCGCCCGCAGUGUCUGUGGACGAUUGCGGUCGGCGCGCGGCGCUCAACUUGCAUCUUCGUCGUCCCCCGUACGAGUUUUUCACGCGAGUGAGUGUUUUAAAAGUGUCGAAAGAGUCAAAUGUCGGGCGUUCGUGCAAGCUGCGUGCCGCGUUCGAGUGGUCGUCGUGUUGCUUCAACCGUCGUGUUGCUUCAACCGUCGCGUCGCGUUCAAUCGUAUUUCGCGUCUUCUCCGUUGCCUCGAUCGUAUCCCGAUUCUAUCUCGACGCGCGUGAGUAUCGAGUAUCUUUUGAGAGUGCCGAAAACGAAGGGUCGUGCCAUGUGUGAAUCGAGAGGAGGAGGAGGAGGAGGAGGAGGAGGAGGAUGAUGAUCUUAGCUUGAAUCGUUCGAGAGUUGCGCCGAGACAGAGCUGGAGACGUUGGACCCCAGAGACGAACGAAUUUGGAGAAGGAAUGCAGUAGUAGUAGCAGCAGCAACAGCAAAAACAGUCAGUGAGUGAAUUAAUUUGACAAUUUAUUUACGCUUACAAUUAACUAAUUAAAAUAGAAGAUCCCCAUAUAAUAAUAGUGAAGAAUGCAAGAAAUUAAAGAAUUAAAAUCAUACAAAA